rnacentral:rRNA from 1 species
UGGGGAAUAUUGGACAAUGGGCGAAAGCCUGAUCCAGCCAUGCCGCGUGUGUGAAGAAGGCCCUCGGGUCGUAAAGCACUUUAAGUUGGGAGGAAGGGCUUACAGCGAAUACCUGUGAGUUUUGACGUUACCAACAGAAUAAGCACCGGCUAACUUCGUGCCAG